rnacentral:lncRNA from 10 species
UACCACCUCCUUCUCUCUCUGGCCCCCUUGGUGUGUGAGGAAGCACAGGAAUGGAUGUGGACCAGGCAUGCCCUGGAGCCAGCUCAUCCCAGCUUGCACCUGCCCACCAGAGCUGAUCGUGCCCGUCUCUCCCCAGCUCUGGCCCAGGGGCAUCCCCUUGAAGGUGUGGAAUCAGCCAAAAUGGGAUUGUUCACAACACAGAAAUCCGCACACGCCGGGAUCAGGGCUUGUUGUUCCAGAGAGCCUGAUGUUAAGCAUUUAUCAGCACAGACCUGGCCGUGGCUGCUGACGCUGCUGGCCCCUGUUUGUGGAGUGUUUGCACGUGCCAGGCACCGUGCUGAGGAAGCACUUUUCAUGGAUUAGCUCAUUGUUUGGGAUCUUCGCACAGCUCUCCCCGAGCAGGGUGUAUUUUGUCAUCCUAAUGAAUAGGAAUUGUCACAAGACCAGUAGAGCUUGGGCAGUGCUGAUGGGAGGGAGCUCAGCAACAGUCUCUCCAGGGGGCUGUUUCUCCUCCUUGGCCUCCGCAACUCUGGGCAGGGGGCACAGGCUUGGGUCGUCAAGCAACUUGCUGCAGUCACACCACUAGACACGACAGAGCCGAGACUUGAACCUGCACCUGUAAGAGGCUCAGCCCUUGUCGGAGUUCCUGUGUCACACGGAGGGCUUGCCUCCUGCCUGCUUUGCACUUGGGUAGACUCAAGCUCCACCAGCAUCAGGGUGGCUGGUGUGGAUUCGUGCAGUCCAGGGUUCAAAACUCUGAGUCCCUGAGCUCACUCACCAGAGCCUGAGUCCUCACCACACUUGCUACUGGAAUGGAUCAUUUAUGCAAGGCCAGAGAUUGCUCCAGACCCUGACCUCGGAGAGCAGCUGAUGUUUCGUAGAUGACUUGGGGAGCGGGAGGUGGUCACCUGUAGCGUGAUCCGGAUCUCCUCGAACAAGGGUGAAACAAAGCGGUUACAUGCUUGAGUGUGUGUGUGCGCGUUUGUGUGCCUCGAGGCAGAAGGUGGAUGUUCGUGCUUGGAGAGAGACUCUAGCCUUCGUCAGACCCCCUGAACCGUCAGAGGCAGGGUCACUUUGGAGAGAGGGUUGUGGGUUCUGGUGGGGAACGCACGCUGCACUUCGGCCCAGCCUGGGGUGGAGGGGUAGCCAAUGGGGAACUCAGAAUGGUCCGGUGUUGUGGUUUACAGCAGGGGUCAGAUUACCUGGGUUCAAUUCCUGGCCCCGCACCACAUGUCUGUGAACACUCAGGAAAGUUUUUAACUUCCAAAGUCUCAGUUUCCUCAUUUGUACCAUGAGAUGACAGUACCGACUUCACAGGGCUGUCUUGUAAGGACUGAAUGAGCCAGUCCACACACAGGACUCAGAGCUGUGUCUGGCGUCCAUGAAACACCAUAGCAUUACUGUUCUGUUAGCAGACCGAGAAAGGAGGUGAGAGCCGCAGUGAUACUCAUGAGGGAUGGGAGGGCUGCCUUGGGCUGCAUUUUAUUGGAAAGGACUGGAUGAUGGCAAUGGUAAUGAUAACAAUAAUAAUAACGAUGGCUGCAUUUCUGACCACCUGCCAUGUGCCAAGCCUGGUUCUAGAUGCUCUACAAGAAUAAUUUCUGGUCUUUAAAACAUCCCUGGAAAAUCAGGGUUAUUGUCCCCAUUUUACAGAUGGGAAAAUUGAGGCUGAGAUGUCCAAAGACUCACAGCUAGUGUGGGGUGGAGCUGAGAAGGUUUUGUUUCACCCGCUGUGAUGUUUAGCCUAGGUCUGCUGGGUGCCGUUUACCAUGAUCUUCUGCCAUUGGCAGGAGAAGGUCAUGGUUAAAUGCCCAGACUUGGAAGCCAGGCUACCCUGGGUCUGAAUGCACUUCAUUGUGAGAUCUCAGGGUCUCGAUUUUUCCCUCUGUGAAAUGGGCAUAAUGAUAGGUGCCACCUCAUAGGGCUGCUGUGAGGACCAAGGAGAGACUACGUGGAUAACAAAAGCCAAGUUCCUAGAACAGUCCUCAUACACAGGCCCCCAGCCAGCCCCCACCAUCCUCACUCCCAGGCCUCCAACCAGUUCAUCCCAUUCCCUCCC